AGUGAACGCUGGCGGUAGGCCUAACACAUGCCAGUCGAACGGCAGCACAGUAAGAGCUUGCUCUUACGGGUGGCGAGUGGCGGACGGGUGAGGAAUACAUCGGAAUCUACUUUUUCGUGGGGGAUAACGUAGGGAAACUUACGCUAAUACCGCAUACGACCUACGGGUGAAAGCAGGGGAUCUUCGGACCUUGCGCGAUUGAAUGAGCCGAUGUCGGAUUAGCUAGUUGGCGGGGUAAAGGCCCACCAAGGCGACGAUCCGUAGCUGGUCUGAGAGGAUGAUAAGCCACACUGGAACUGAGACACGGUCCAGACUCCUACGGGAGGCAGCAGUGGGGAAUAUUGGACAAUGGGCGCAAGCCUGAUCCAGCCAUACCGCGUGGGUGAAGAAGGCCUUCGGGUUGUAAAGCCCUUUUGUUGGGAAAGAAAAGCAGCAGGUUAAUACCCCGCUGUUCUGACGGUACCCAAAGAAUAAGCACCGGCUAACUUCGUG
rnacentral:rRNA from 1 species